rnacentral:rRNA from 1 species
UACGUAGGGUGCGAGCGUUAAUCGGAAUUACUGGGCGUAAAGCGUGCGCAGGCGGUUUUGUAAGCCAGAUGUGAAAUCCCCGGGCUUAACCUGGGAAUGGCAUUUGGGACUGCAAGGCUUGAGUGCGGCAGAGGAGACUGGAAUUCCUGGUGUAGCAGUGAAAAUGCGUAGAUAUCAGGAGGAAUACCGAUGGCGAAGGCAGGUCUCUGGGCUGACACUGACGCUCAUGCACGAAAGCGUGGGGGACAAACGA